GCAUGACUGCUGUUGCUGGAGGCAUUAAGUAUUUGGGUUUGCCUUAAGCAGAUAGAGAAGAAAAGGUUAUGCUAUAAAUACAAAAGGUAACUCUCCCAGUGGAAUCUUUUCAAGCUGCUUUUGGAUGACUUGAAAGUUGCUGUUAUUUCUGGUGACUUAAAUGAUAUCAGCUCACAAAUAUCAAAGGCAAAACAACAAAGGGAAGAAAAAAGGCAAACAGCUUUCAAAAAGGGCACAUUCAACCUUUGACUCAGUCUUGAACUUCAGUAAGGAGGAAGGAUAGAAAGAACAUUUGAGUUUACCUUUAUCACCUGUCUUAUUCAAACAGAUUGAAGGUCAAGCUAACAAAUAUGCUCAGAAUAGAACUGUUGAUGAAGUAAUCAGAAGUCUGAAGAACAGAGUGAUAAAGCAGGCAGCAACUACUAAAGACAGCUUUCUUUUUUUUGUCUACAAGAAGCAAUCACAAGGAGAAAAUCAAUAAAUCUGGUUUGCAGAAGCCUGAUACCUCCCUUCCUCAAAGAACUACAGUAGGCUAAAGCAAAAGGAAAAUACCUUGUCUCAGCCAUGUUUUCUUCAGCUGAGACUAUCUGCUUCUCCUUGUGCCAGGGAAACUGUAGCAGCUGAGGCUACUACUGCAAAUUGGGUGGACACCAGUGAUACCACAUUGGGCUUUGACAUGUUUGAGCUGUAAAGAAUAUAGCUGUAAGGUUUGUUGUUUUCUUUAUGUUACAUCACUGUGCUAUGUAUCAGAUAUGUUUGCUAUAACCUUUUCAAUAUUUGCUGUACUUUGAUUUCAUUAUUGCAGAUGCUAGAUGGAAUGGGCCAGGAGCUCUCUUAUGUAGCAGCCCAAACACAGUAAAUGACACUAAAUAUCACUACAUCACUUCAUGAUAAACUGGUGGAAUCCUUUGGGGUAAAUGCAUUGAUUUGCUUUUGUCAGUGAAGCUGAUUGUUCUUUUGAUACAAAUAUUUGCUUUAAAAGUUGGUUUGGAUGAGCUGUCAGGAAGGUGACUCUAAAAAUGAUGCUGGAUUUUGUCUUCUUUGUUUUCAGAGGCUUCCCACUCAAACACAUUCAGUUUCCAAGGAAAAACUUUUUUUUUUUUUUUCCCUUCUAAUUGUCUUCUCUGCAGCCUUUGCCAGGAAAACAAGA